AGUUUCUUAGUUUAAAUGUUCUCUCAUAAACAAUGAUAUGAAGAACAACAAUAGGAACUCGAGAGCUAGCUUUCAAUCUUUGUUGCUGUUCAUUACUAUGGAAGGUUUGCAGAGAAACAAGGAUGGCGCUUUGACUCGACAUAUGAUCACAUAGAUGAAAAUGGUGAACCGAUUCCUUUUGUAUUCGUUAUUGGGACUGGGUCAUUUCAGGGAUUGAAAUAGCUGUGAAAUCUAUCAAAGUGGGUGGUGUUCCUAGAGUUGUUAAUUAUACCGCCAUCACAAGGGUAUCUGUGGUUUGCAUGGGCACACUUGUGUCUAAAGUAUAAACAGAGAGAGAGAGAGAGACAGAGAGAGAGAGAGAGAGA